rnacentral:rRNA from 1 species
AUGAUUAAAGGAGAAGAUUGUUCUUUAACCAAACAUAUGCAGAUCAAAUCAUGUCUUAUAGCAAGAAGAAAUCUUUCUCGGUAACAAUCCCCUUGCCCCUCAUUUUUUGAGAAUCAGAAUUUCGAGUUAACAUUUUUUCAUUGGGAAUCUUGGCUCUUCUAUCUUCGACGGGAGUUAGGGCAUCUCCAAUGCAAAUCCUUAAAAUGA